rnacentral:rRNA from 1 species
GAUUAAGUUAUUAAGGGCGCACGGUGGAUGCCUUGGCACUAGAAGCCGAUGAAGGACGUUACUAACGACGAUAUGCUUUGGGGAGCUGUAAGUAAGCUUUGAUCCAGAGAUUUCCGAAUGGGGAAACCCAGCAUGAGUUAUGUCAUGUUAUCGAUAUGUGAAUACAUAGCAUAUCAGAAGGCACACCCGGAGAACUGAAACAUCUUAGUACCCGGAGGAAGAGAAAGAAAAUUCGAUUCCCUUAGUAGCGGCGAGCGAAACGGGAAGAGCCCAAACCAACAAGCUUGCUUGUUGGGGUUGUAGGACACUCUAUACGGAGUUACAAAGGACGACAUUAGACGAAUCAUCUGGAAAGAUGAAUCAAAGAAGGUAAUAAUCCUGUAGUCGAAAAUGUUGUCUCUCUUGAGUGGAUCCUGAGUACGACGGAGCACGUGAAAUUCCGUCGGAAUCUGGGAGGACCAUCUCCUAAGGCUAAAUACUCUCUAGUGACCGAUAGUGAACCAGUACCGUGAGGGAAAGGUGAAAAGCACCCCGGAAGGGGAGUGAAAUAGAACCUGAAACCGUGUGCUUACAAGUAGUCAGAGCCCGUUAAUGGGUGAUGGCGUGCCUUUUGUAGAAUGAACCGGCGAGUUACGAUUUGAUGCAAGGUUAAGCAGUAAAUGUGGAGCCGUAGCGAAAGCGAGUCUGAAUAGGGCGUUUAGUAUUUGGU